GGUGAAUUCGUAGAUAUUAGAAAGAAUACCAAUUGCGAAGGCAGCUUUCUGGAUCAUUACUGACACUGAGGAACGAAAGCAUGGGUAGCGAAGAGGAUUAGAUACCCUCGUAGUCCAUGCCGUAAACGAUGUGUGUUAGACGUUGGAAAUUUAUUUUCAGUGUCGCAGCGAAAGCAUUAAACACACCGCCUGGGGAGUACGACCGCAAGGUUAAAACUCAAAUGAAUUGACGGGGACCCGCACAAGUAGUGGAGCAUGUGGUUUAAUUCGAAGAUACGCGCAGAACCUUACCAACACUUGACAUGUUCGUCGCGACUUUAAGAGAUUAAAGUUUUCGGUUCGGCCGGACGAAACACAGGUGCUGCAUGGCUGUCGUCAGCUCGUGUCGUGAGAUGUUGGGUUAAGUCCCGCAACGAGCGCAACCCUCACUUUUAGUUGCCAUCAUUUAGUUGGGCACUCUGAAAGAACUGCCAGUGAUAAGCUGGAGGAAGGUGGGGAUGACGUCAAGUCCUCAUGGCCCUUACGUGUUGGGCUACACACGUGCUACAAUGGCAUUUACAAUAGGAAGCAAGAUGGCGACGUCAAGCAAAUCCUAAAAAAAUGCCUCAGUUCGGAUUGUACUCUGCAACUCGAGUACAUGAAGCUGGAAUUACUAGUAAUCGCGGAUCAGCGCGCCGCGGUGAAUACGUUCCCGGGUCUUGUACACACCGCCCGUCACACCAUGGGAGUUGGUUCUACCUUAAGGCAAGGUUUAAAACCCUUGACCACGGUAU
rnacentral:rRNA from 1 species